GGGGUGUUUGUGUUGAAGGAAUGCCUUUUGGAAUAUCUAUAUUUAAAUAGAAUACUAACGUGAUUCCUAUUUGUUGAGAUAUUCACCCUAAUUAGUUGCCAUAAUUAUAACUCCGUCUAAGUAAUUUGUGUUUAGCCGGUCCCAAGUACAGAUAAAGAAAGAGAGUUGCGGUAGGUGACAUCCAGCGUAAAAAUUUUUUCACGCCUCAUUAUAUGGAUUCUUAUGAUAUAAACG
rnacentral:misc_RNA from 1 species